rnacentral:rRNA from 1 species
AAAACUCACCAGGUCAGGACACGGUAAGGAUUGACGGACUGAAGGCUCUUUCUCGAUUCCGUGGAAAGUGGUGCAUGGCCGUUUUGGUUGGUGGAUCGAUCCGUCUGGUUAAUUCCGUUAACGAACGAGACCUCGGACACUCCGAAUAGCGCGGCGGACGUCGCGGCCUCCGGGGCCGUCUUCCGCACGAGCUUCUUAGAGGGACCGUCCCCCGCCGGGGAAGGAGGUGCGAGGCAACGACAGGUCUGUGAUGCCCUUAGAUGUUCUGGGGCCGCACGCGCAUUACACUGACGCGUCCAACGGGUGACUCCCGACCCGAAGGGGCCGGGGAAUCCGCAAGGCGCGUCGUGAUGGGGAUUGAACGUUGCAAUUGUUGUUCACGAACGAGGAAUUCCUAGUAGGCGCGGGUCAUCAACCCGCGCCGAUUACGUCCCUG